GUCUGGGCUCUCAGUCCCGACUAGGACCCAUCGCCCUGUCUACCUAGCGCGGGGCCAGGCGCGUAAAUGCGCCCGGGGCGCAGCGGGAUGAACCCCGGGAGCCCGAGGUCCUGGCCUCCGCCUCCCAGACUCGUCUGAGUCCUGAGUCCAGAGCGGGACUGCAGCUGCGGGCGCUCCCGGUCACCCGGAGUCGCCGGAACCCUCUCGGGGGUCGCCACCGCAGCAAGCUCUGUCUUCUUGCCCGGCCCGCCUCCCCCGCGGGAGGUAGAGCCGGCCGCUUCCUUCUUGAGCACCGGGUGGAGGACGGGUCCGGCAGUGUCUCAGAGGGUCCGUGGGUCCAGGGCGUGCUGGACAGGUCUCAGCGCCCGGCUCUAGCUGCCCUCGGGCAGGUGCCGCCGCCGCCGCCUGCUCUCGGCUUCUGGCGGUGAUUGUCAAGUGCUUUGGAAAUCAGCAUCUGGAGAGAGCAAUCUUCUCCCCUGAGAUCGCUAAUCAAAGCGCUGCGUUCCCACCCCACUACACCCCCACCACCUAUGUGGUCUCCCUCCUAUGUAUCUCUUUAGAACGGAAAAAAAAAAGUAUUUAUAAUAAUGAUUUAAAAUAAUAAAACGAAAGCUAGAAAGGAUUGCAGGGCGUGAGGUGAUAAAACGCAGAGCCAAAGCAGGUGGAAUGGAAGGAAUAUCGUGCGCUUUUUCUUAGAAGAAACUCGCAGGUUUCUGAGGCUGCCGCGGCUUAGCUGAAGCUUCUGGGUCUGAACGUGGCUUCUGGUCCACAGAAACUCUGAGCAGCGGUUGGAGGGCGAGGUGGUUUCUGCUCUCUGGGUUAAUCCCUUUAGCACCAAAGUCCCCCCACUGCUGCUAGGAGGUGGGAAAAAGGAGACCAGGAGGGAGGAGAGUAUGUCUGGAAGAAGGAAGUGCCUCUGCUCCUCACCUAGUCUACUCAAACUUGCUGAACUCUCCCUUCCUGUGUUAGGAAGGGUAGGUUUAUCGUUUUGAAACGGCAACACAGAGCAAAAAGAGAGAAGAGAAGCCAGGCAAAAUGUUAUUAUGUACUAUGGAAAGACCCCAUUCCCCAAACUCCUGGCCAGCCCUUGGAGCAGGAAAUGACAGCCGCUGCCCGCGGAUGGAAUCAGCAGCUGGAUAGGAUCAAUGUCCAGGAGAAUAUUGAAGAAGACAGGACAGAAAUAUUGGGGGUAUGGGAAAGGGGAAAGAAAGAAUGUCGCAGCAUUCUAGUGACAGCAAAAAGCAACCAGACGGAGGACACUCUAAUAUGAACUGCCGUCUUUUGGCAAGCUCUGUUACGGAGCAAAGCCAUAUGAACUGCGCCUGAAAUUCAAAUAUAACAGCUGCUGCCUCCUCCCUUCGGCUUUCUGCCUGUGACCUGACAGUGCUGUCUUGGAUAAUAUGAAAAUAUGAAAGUCCAAGAGGAAAGGAGAGGAUGGAGGGCACCUGCAAAAAGGAGGUUGGGAGAGAAACACUUUAUGCUUGGAUGAACACCGAUUUUGUGGUUUCUAGGAUACACUGGAGUGGCUGAACCAAGCGUGGCUUUUGCUCCAGGCUUCUUCCCUAUAUUUUGCUUAUCAUCACAGGAAGGUAAAGCAAAAGAAAUGUAAAACGAGAGUUCUUAUAAUUCAGUGCAAAGACAGAGAAAGAAGACUCAUUUGAUAAUCAAGAGACUUGUAAAAAUCUUCUCCGGUGACUGCGUUAGAGCUGAAAGGGGACACACACUGCACACACAGCCCUGGGAGCAGUUCUGAACCAAAACAUACUUUUUCUUUGUCUCAGGAAUAGGCAGAAAGUACUACAAAGACUCGCCACCAGGCAAGAGGGAGAAUUGCCGCCAAGAACUGGUCACAGGGAGUCUGGACACCUGCUUCACACACUUAUUCAUGGCCUCUCCAAGAAGCAGGCGCUGCUCCACUGCUAUUUAUUAUGUUUACUCUGUAUUUACUAACAAGUCUCCUUUGGGAAAGAUAAUUUUAUCUAAUGGGGAGGGGGUGUGAAGAUUUGGGUUCAGUGCAGAUGACACUGACUUUAGGAUAAUGCAUAACAUUUAACAUUAAAGGGCAUACUCUGUAAAUUUAUUUUCUUCACCUUGCUGUUACAUCUAAGAAAGACCUUAAUUGCUUAAAGGAAUAUAGCAGCUACUUUGCCAAAGAUUUGCAGUUUCUGAUUACCAGGAGAUAGUAAAAGUGGGGAAAAUGGGAUGCUAAUUAUUUUUGUCCUGCUUUUAUGACUUUAUUUUCUGUGUCAUAUGUCUUUGUUCUUCCAUUUUCAGUGAGUAUGUAUUUAUAUUGUAUUGCCCUGUACCUGCCUAUAAAGAGGAGAGCCAUCUAUACAGAAAUGGACAUGCCUAAUAAAAUGCCUAUUGACAUAUAUCUGCCCUUUUCUGGUUCACUGGAAAAGCCCCACUGAACAUUAAGAGCCAUUACUCUUGACUUUCAUUAUUAA
rnacentral:lncRNA from 1 species